UACGGGGGGAGCAAGCGUUGUUCGGAUUUACUGGGCGUAAAGGGCGCGUAGGCGGUCGUGACAAGUCACUUGUGAAAUCUCCGGGCUUAACUCGGAACGGUCAAGUGAUACUGUCGGACUAGAGUACAGAAGGGGCAACUGGAAUUCCCGGUGUAGCGGUGAAAUGCGCAGAUAUCGGGAAGAACACCCGUGGCGAAGGCGGUUCUCUGGGACGGUACUGACGCUGAGACGCGAAAGCGUGGGGAGCGAACAGG
rnacentral:rRNA from 1 species